AGGCAAAGCUCCCAAUAAAAGAAAAACAAUUAAUUCAAUCGAAAUUUUUUAAAUAAAAAUAAUUUAAAUUGUCAACUCUCCGGGUAGUUAUUAAUUAGUAAUUAACUUCAGUAUCAUAUGAAUUACUUACAAUCAGUUUAAUUUUUACCUAUUUUUUGAAACAAUAAAUUAAAAUAAAUUGAACGGCUUAUAAAAAUUAAUGUAGUUAAAGUACGCGGCAACCUAAGCGCUAUGUGUCACUUCCUAACGUUUGCUCAGCUUUUAGUUUUUUAGUAGCGAGAGCUGCAGACGAAGCGAAAUAUUACAGCCGGUAGACGUUAAUUUGUUCUUCUGUUUAUUUUUUUAAAAGUGUUUAAAUAAAAUACAAUUAAAUUAGUGUUGUUAUUAAAUUACAUUUUUUAAUAUAGUCACGUAAAUAUUUAGUGUAAGUAAUUAAGUGUAAUUAAAUAGUGUUAUUGAAAGUGUCAGUGAUUGAGUGUAGAUAAAUAGUGUAAUUCAAAGUGAGUGUGAAUGUAGCAAAUAUUAGACAAUUUAUAAAUUUUAAACAAAUGAAUAAAUUAAUAAAAAUAAUGAAAUUUAAAAAUAUGCGCGUACUGAUUUUUCAAUUAUCUAAGGCGUAAAUUAGCCGACCUCGAUAGUAAUUUUUGGAUUUUUGAAAACCGAUAAAUUAUAAAAAAAAAAACAUAUUUUAAAAAAUUGCACUUAUAGUUUUUUAAAUUUUCUACAUGUGCACAUUGUUAGUUUUUUUUUUUUUAAUUAAAUUUUUGAAAAAAGAAAAAAGAAAAAUUGUGAGCUGUCUGCUAAUUUCAGGAUCAUAUUUCAUACUUGUAAUUUAAAAAUGUACUUCAAAGUGACAGUGAUUUGAGUGUAAAUAAAUAGUGACGUUAAAUAGUGUAAUGAAAGGUGUCAGUGAUUGAGUGUAGUGAAAUAGUAAAACUAAAAUAAGUGUCAGUGAUCAAGUGUAAUUAAAUAAUAAAUUGUAUGCCCUGUUGUCGGCAAUGGAUUCAAUCUGUUUACUGAAGUCAUCAUUUCGUUGAAUUUCAUCUAAUCAUUCAUCAAACUCAGAUUCCAGCCUAGACAUAGAACUUGCCGCUUGAUAAAAUUCUGUUCCCAUUUUACCAACAUCGGAGACAGAGGGAUGGAAAAGCUCUUUCACCACGAAAAAGAGAAAGCUUUUCAUUGAAAAUUUUGUACUACUGCCAUCUAACGAACAUAUGAUGAAACAUCUGGAGUACCGACAAGUCAAAGUGGUCAAGGAGUUUAAGCCGUUGUUUUUUCAGAGGAGUCAUUUCAAAGUGAUCUGGAUUUUAUUUCAAUUCGCAUUCACUACGAUUCGGAGUUUUGGAAUUAAAAUAAACUUCUGUUCUGUGUGAAUUUCACUUCAAGAGAAUAACAGUCAUCCACACCACACUCACUCCGGAUUUAAUUUGCAUUCACUCCGUAAAUUUUUUACGGUGAAGUUGAUACCAUUCAAGUUUUUCCUAGUUCAAGCUUAAUAUAAAUUAUAUUAUAAAAAAAAAAUUUUAAAAUAGCUAUUUUCGAUACAUAGGAUUGAAACGAGGGUUCGCGGUAUGUUUGUUUUGGCGACACAAGUCUUGGGUUAUGACGCAUCCUCAACGAGAACAAGUACAUACGUCUUUCUCGCACGAGUGAAGCGAGUAUACAGAGAGAUGAUUUUCUCUAUCUCUUUCUGUCUAGCGUGAACGACGCUCGCUCCUUGAUUUGUAUAUAAUUCUUAUAGCAAAUUAUAUUUCAGCAUUGUAAAAUCAUGCUGAAUAGUGAAACAGCUCAUUUUUCGAUAUCGUUCAAUAGUCUCGUCAAUUAUCGAGAGAAAGACCGAUAUAUUUUACUCGCAACACACGACGCUCGAAUGUUGAACUUUAAACGCAGGAGUUAUAAAAAAUAGUUAUUUUCGAUACGAAUGCGGAACGGUAGGGAUUCUGACGGCUAGAAGUGACGUCACAAGUUUGAGGCUAUGGGCGCUUUCUUAUCAAGACCGGAUAUAGUACGAGGUUUUGAUGAGAAUGCAUCCAUAGCCUCAAACGCGUGCCUCCACUUCAAGUUUGUCAGGGUUCCUACCUUUGAGCAUAAAGUAUCGAACAAAAUUUUUUGUCAUAUCAACGGCGGAAGUUGAAUUUGAGAGAGUAACAGUCAAAAAUGUUUUAAGUCGCGUAGGAAUGUAGAGACAGAUAGAGAGAGAGAGAUAGAGAAGUUACUUUUCGAUACAAGUUCGAGAAAAGUUAACCAAACUAUAGAUUGCCAGAAAUCGUAUAGUUUUGCGCCCUCUGCACGUUGCUUGAAAAUCCAACUUUCGCGGUUGAUAUGACAAAAAACAAUUUUUUAUAAAAAUUGUCAACGUCAGUUGACAAAAAACUUUCUAUGUAUCUACAUAUUUUUUUGAUUUCAACGAUAAAAAUUUUUUCAAUCACAAAUUCUUUAAAACAAAAAAAAAUUUUUUUUUUUGCCGAAAAAUAUUUAAAUUUAUCUAGUACAAUUGUAGCUAAA